GGCAACACAGUCUAGCUUGCUAGAUGGGUGGCGAGUGGCGAACGGGUGAGUAACGCGUAGGAAUAUGCCUUAAAGUGGGGGACAACUUGGGGAAACUCAAGCUAAUACCGCAUAAUCUCUGAGGAGAGAAGCUGGGGACCGCAAGGCCUGGCGCUUUAAGAUUAGCCUGCGUCCGAUUAGCUAGUUGGUAGGGUAAAGGCCUACCAAGGCGACGAUCGGUAGCUGGUCUGAGAGGAUGGCCAGCCACACUGGAACUGAGACACGGUCCAGACUCCUACGGGAGGCAGCAGUGGGGAAUAUUGGACAAUGGGGGCAACCCUGAUCCAGCAAUGCCGCGUGUGUGAAGAAGGCCUGAGGGUUGUAAAGCACUUUCAGUGGGGAGGAGGAUUGACAGGUUAAGAGCUGGUUAAUUGGACGUUACCCACAGAAGAAGCACCGGCUAACUCCGUGCCAGCAGCCGCGGUAAUACGGAGGGUGCGAGCGUUAAUCGGAAUUACUGGGCGUAAAGGGUGCGUAGGUGGUUUGAUAAGUUAUCUGUGAAAGCCCUGGGCUCAACCUGGGAAGGCCAGAUAAGACUGUUGAACUAGAGUAUGGGAGAGGGUAGUGGAAUUUCCGGUGUAGCGGUGAAAUGCGUAGAGAUCGGAAGGAACACCAGUGGCGAAGGCGGCUACCUGGCCUGAUACUGACACUGAAGCACGAAAGCUAGGGUAGCGAACGGGAUUAGA
rnacentral:rRNA from 1 species